CCCUUAGAUGUCCUGGGCCGCACGCGCGCUACACUGAUGCAUGCAACGAGUUUAUAACCUUGGCCUGAAAGGUCUGGGUAAUCUUUUGAACGUGCAUCGUGAUAGGGAUAGAUUAUUGCAAUUGUUAAUCUUGAACGAGGAAUUCCUAGUAAACGCGAGUCAUCAGCUUGCAUUGAUUACGUCCCUGCCCUUUGUACACACCGCCCGUCGCUCCUACCGAUUGAAUGAUCCGAUGAAUAUCAUGGAUUGAGGAUGCAAGUAGGUUCGCCUAUCUUCAUCUUCGAGAAGUGAAGUAAAUCUUAUCAUUUAGAGGAAGGAGAAGUCGUAACA
rnacentral:rRNA from 1 species